rnacentral:rRNA from 1 species
GACGAACGCUGGCGGCGUGCUUAACACAUGCAAGUCGAACGGAAAGGCCCUGCUUUUGUGGGGUGCUCGAGUGGCGAACGGGUGAGUAACACGUGAGUAACCUGCCCUUGACUUUGGGAUAACUUCAGGAAACUGGGGCUAAUACCGGAUAGGAGCACCUGCUGCAUGGUGGGGGUUGGAAAGUUUCGGCGGUUGGGGAUGGACUCGCGGCUUAUCAGCUUGUUGGUGGGGUAGUGGCUUACCAAGGCUUUGACGGGUAGCCGGCCUGAGAGGGUGACCGGCCACAUUGGGACUGAGAUACGGCUCAGACUCCUACGGGAGGCAGCAGUGGGGAAUAUUGCACAAUGGGCGGAAGCCUGAUGCAGCAACGCCGCGUGCGGGAUGACGGCCUUCGGGUUGUAAACCGCUUUCGCCUGUGACGAAGCGUGAGUGACGGUAAUGGGUAAAGAAGCACCGGCUAACUACGUG